CAAAUCCUUGUGUUUUAGACAAUCAUUGACUAAAGAGUUAUGAAUAAAAUUUAUUAGCAAGCGGGUCAGCGGGUGUUGUACUCACAGAGAUUUAGUGAGCAAAAGUUAUUUGCUCCCAUAAUUUAUAAGUGGAAUUUGCAAUUUGUCGUCUUUGUCAAGUGAAGCUGUUGAUCGAUUUUGCAAUAAAAACAUUCGUGCAAGUAUACACGGUCAACAAGUAAUAAAGUGAUAAGAAAAGUAUCGUUCCCACGAGGAAUUAUUUAAUAAAAAUCACCAGUAUUAGUUCUUAACCAAACUAAUUUUAUUUAAACAAUCAAUUUAGGGUUUUGAAUUAAAUUAUUUAAUUAAACUAAUUCUAAUAACCACUAGUUAAAAAUUAAAUUAUGGAGAUUUAAGAUCACAACUUCACUUAUUACUUCACUUAUAUUAAAACACUUCUUAUUAAUUAUGCUCACUAUUCUGGAUUGUUAAUCAGGAACUUAUUAGUAUUUAUAACCACCUUCCGAUGCAUCACAACAUAUUAAUCCAAAUCCACAGUUGAUAGAAUUGAAUCAAACACCCUAAUUAACUAAUUCACUAUAUUCCUAUGUGAAUUACAAUUAAAAAGGAUUUAAAGUACAUGUUCCCUAUCAGAUUACACGCGGCGUAAAGGCAUAUCCCUAUCCUAAACACAAAUCAUGAAUUCCAACACUAUACAGAAAACACAAUCACAUGCUACUAUGAUCAGAUCUAAUUCUAUAUUUCAUCUCCCGAAUCCAUAUAGAUUAUCAUGGUAAUUGUUAAACAAUUAAACACAAUCAUAACAGACAAUUCAUAGAAUAGAUCUCAGUAAUUAACAGAGAAACAUACUAAAAUAAGCAAUGCAAUAAGAUCCAUUGUAAUCUUAAAUAAAAGAUUUAGUUCAUGAUUAAUGAAUUAAAAUCAAGAAUCCACAACUGAAUAGACAUUAAAAGAUAAAAGUAUGAUAAGAGAAGAGAAUAUAAUUUGUUGUCAGCAAAUUUGAUGCUCCCCUCUUGCUCCUGUUCUUGAUCUUCAAUGAUCUUCAAGUUGCUUCAAUAUCCAACAAUCCAAUAUAAACUAGGGUUUAUAUUCUAAUCUAUUGGAGUGUUUUUUCUAAUCUAAUCUAUCUCAUCCCCCUUUAUUUUCUGCCUUACAUCAUGUAUUUAUAGGUUACAAGUCCAACUUUUAACUUAGGAACAAACCCAAUCCAAUUUAGAGUAAAAAAAAGUGCCAAAAUUCGCCCCAAAACGCGUCUAAACUUGACCAGACCCUUCCCCAGCACCCCAGUGCUGUUCACGACGCUGCACCACUGCCACCUACCGCCCCGACGCUGGGAAUAGGCUUGAAAUGGGCGCCCCCGCGCUGGCCUCUUUUCCGGAAAUUUUCUGCUCUGACGUCCUUUGGGAAAAUGACCAUAACUUCUUCGUCGGAGCUCCGAUUUUGAUGAUUCAAGAUGUUCCGGAAAGAGGAGACGUAAAUCUACAACUUUCAUUCUUUAAGUUUUUCGAAAUAAGGUCCAUAGAAAUGUUGAAAUUGGCCCUGAAGUAGCUGCUAUGUAAAUGGCAAGCCGAAAAUGCGAAUCUAGUAACCCCAAAAGUCGAUCCAAGUAACUUUUGUCCCAAUUCCUACAAAACAACGUAAAACAUGCAUGAAUAGACACAAACACUUAAAAACAUCCAAAAGAUUAAGCUUAAACGCACACAAUUCAUGAGUAUAAAACUCACUCAUCAAAUACCCCCAAACUUAAACAUUUGCUUGUCCUCAAGUAAAAACACAAUUUUGAAAAAUUCAGCCUCUGGAAAUGAUCCACCCAAACAAUGAAUCAAUAUGAAUUCGCAUAAUGGCUUUAAAGGUUACAACAAAUGUUAACCUGCAGAAAAUUUCAAAAUAAUGUCAUGUCUAAAAUUUCAACACUUUCAUUAGCUUCACAGUUACUCAUGAUCCUUUAAGUGCGUGUGUGCAUCCAUCCAUAUGUUCAAACUAGUCAUAAUUUAGUUAAGAUCAACCAAAACUCAUAAAAGAUUUUCAACAACAACUCUCAAAAUUUCUUAUCACAUCAAUCACCGUUAAACUAGACAAAGCACAAUUUUUUUUCUUAAGGAUCAACCGGAUAUUCAAACUUUGAAGCACAUAUGAACCCUUCCCAAAUAUUUUAAACAUACAUAUUUUUUUUCUCUAUUUAGUGAGUGCGUUUUACGCUCCAUCUCACUUUUCACUUUUCAUUGAACGAGUGCGUUUUACGCUCCAUCUCGUUUUUCACUUUUCAUUGAACGAGUGCGUUUUACGCUCCAUCUCGUGCCUGUGUUUAUGGGGAGUGUGUUUUACGCUACAUCUCGACCCACCACACGCUUCAAUUAUUCAACUCGGGAAGGUUCCAAUAUUUUUUUUUCAAAAAUACCCCAAGAUUUCCCCCAAACUUAUGUGAGUGCCUAAUUUUCACGAAUGAUGCUUAAAUAAGAUUUCUCAAGUUGCAAUGGUAUCUUUCAUAAGCAUUUAGCCAAAAAAAUUCAAUCCUAACUGGCUAAACAAAUGGAUGUGUAAACUUUUUCAAAAAUUUCGCUAGUAAUGUGAAAACUAACUAAUAAGUUAAAAUAUAGACUAAGCAUGCUCAUCAAUUCUCCAAGAGUUAACAAUAUCAACCACCCACUUAUCAUUGGCCAAAAUCAAAUUCCAUCAAAACAUUGCCCAAGUAAAUACUAAACAUGAUAAAUACCCCCAAACUUAAAACAGACAUUGUCCUCAAUGGCUAAUGUUAACGCCAAGAUCUUCUCCAACGUCUCAAUCACGUAAGACGCCCUGAUCCUGUACAGUAAACACGAUAAACACCACAAGCUUGACGACCGGACCGCCGGGGGAUAGCUCAGGCGUGAGAGUAAGUAUACGUGUUCACAAGGUUAACAAUGAAGGAUGUAAUGCCUAGUGUAUUGAGAGAGAUAAUAAUUCUCAGUGUGUAUGUGUGUAUAUGAAUGUGAACGCCUAUGAAAACGUACCUGUUUGUGAAGACUUAGUUGAUAGGUUAUACUCUCUUUGCCCGGUUUACCGUGCUACCCACUACCUCUGACACAGCCCCCAUGAUCUGAUGGGUCCUGCCGUCUGCCUGCAGUCUACUCACUACCUUUGGUUACUGUUUAUGCCGCUGGCCGGCUAUAAUCCCAUCCACAUUAAUGCAUGGCAGGUGUCCCAAUCAACUGUCAUGCUCUUUCAUCAUUACAAGUCAAAGUAAUAGAUAUUAAAUGAUCCAAUGGGUUAAUCCAACGAACCGACCUGGUUUUAUAGGGUUAAAUAGAAAUAACAUGGUGAUUAGGCCCAGCGACUUUCAAGGCUCAAUAAUAAAGGCCCAAUGGAUUAAUUUAAUAAGUGAGCCCAACUUACUCGGCCCAAAGAAGGGAAAUAUCAUGACCCAACAUUGCCCCCUAGUUUUUUGUUGAACAGAAUGUUUAAUAGAAAAUUAUAAAUGGUCCAUGAUAUUAGAAUUUACUAAAGGCCCAUAACAGGAAGUAAUUGAGACAUACCCAAUUUGGUGCAUAAGAUGAGACGGGGAAUGGCCGGAUGUCCAGAGUAAAAGGCCCAGUUAAUAAAUGAUUGAAAUUGAAACAGAUGGCCCAAAAACCGGAAAUCCAACCGAAAGGCCCAAUCUGAUAAAAUAUCUAAGGAUUGAUCCGGACGCUUCCCAUUCGAAUUCUCAUCAUUACUAACAUUUAACGUGCCGGCCUCGUACACCGUGUAACCGUCAGUAUAAAAGAUAAACUUUACCAAUUUUGACGGUUUUACCUGCCAAUUUGAACUUUGAACUUUUGAGCUUUCUUCUCCUUCCCAGAACUUCUUUCUCUGUCUUACGAAAUCUCAACAAUGGUGACUGUGAGCUCUAGCCAGAAUUCUCCUCUUCGCGUGACUCCCGUUAGCACUGUUUCCCCCAAUCCAAACCCUAACCAAGAGGGUUCGAGUUCAAAUCCUCAAUCCACAGUAACCAUGGGGAAGAAUCCACCCCUGGUUCCUUCUCUGCCUCCUUCCGACUUCUUCAAGGAUGGGGAACUGUUUUCUCAUGCCAAUAUUCCCUCUACUGUUACGGAAUCUGAGAUACGUAUCCUUCGGACUCGCUAUCAGAUUUCGGAUAUGUAUGCUAUAAGGGCUCCCGCUCCUGAAGAGCGCAUGUACUAGCGACCGGAUGGUUGGGUCGCUAUGCCAGUUACUUUCCUUGAAAAGGGGAUUCGUCUACCCCUCCAUGCUUUCGUCGUUACCCUCCUAGGGUUCAUAGGAGUGGGUUUUACCCAGUUGGUGCCCAAUUCCUAUAUCCACAUCCUGGCAUUCAUUGCCUUCUGUCAUGAAUUAGGGAUUCCUCCCUCUGUCGACAUCUUCUUCACCCUCUUCUCAGCCGGUAGGUCCCGAGAACGAGGUUUCAAAAUGUUGAGCAAACAGUCUCCUCGUCCCAACUCCAAAUUUGAGAAGAGAUCCCUGAUGGAUACCCCUUCAAGCAACAAGGGUUGGCACGAAAAAUAGUUUUUUGUUACGGGACCAGAAAUCUCUUCUCUUCCAGAUUGGACUAUCUCAGAUCCGAAGAGCGUGUGAAGGAGAUGACAGAUUUUUUGAAGAAGAUUCCUCCAAAGGAAUGGAGUUUUGCACUUCUGACCAAGCAAGCCUGGCUAUAUGACCACAAAUGUAAGUUUCGAACAACUUUGUAACAUAGUUUUUUGAGAUAUUUAAGUGACAUGGGUUCUGAUAUAUGGUUAUCUGCAGUGUCUCUGAUCAAACCAACUUCUUCGGAAGUAAAAGAACUGGGAGACUUUUUGGCAGGGAAGAUUACGGAUGCGAGUGAAGAGUCUCCUACCGAAGAAUCUUCCCGAGCCGAUCCCCCCGUCACCGAUCCACCAACCGCUUCUCUUCAGAAUGAUGAACCCCAAACUGAUGAACCCAUCGUUCCCGAAGAAUCCCUCAGACCUCGCCGAAGGAAAAGAGCCGCCAAGAAAUCCAAAUCCACCCAUCCGGAAACAAAUCCGGAAAGUGACCCGGAAAUCAUUCCCGAAGCAAUUCCACAAGCAACCCCUUCAUCCAACCCUAGCUCUGCACCUUCCGAAUCUGCCCCCAUUAAGAGGAGCUUCCUUGACAUACCUCUACACGAUCGGGCGAAGGUCCUUCGUGCUAAGAAGAUAAGGACGAAGAUUACUCCUUUGACUGCCGAUGAGUUCCGAGUUCCAUCGUCUUCGACUGUCAUUCCCCCAAUAGUCCCAACUGAAAUUCAGACACCUGAUGAUGAGCUGGACAAAAUUUUCUCCAAAUUUGAAUGUUCCUCCUGUUGUAGUGGAGAUGGACACGAGAAAUCCGGUGGGUAUGUUGGACUUGGAGCAUAAAAUUAAUCUUGAUGAGUAUGGCUCCAUGAAAAAUCUGGGUGAUACCCCCAAUCCUGAUAAUAGUUGUUGGGAUACACAUAAUUCUUGGGGUAAUCACAACCAUACAGUACCGGCUCGAAAUUGGUGGUGCAUUGAUGAAUCAGAUGAUUUCUAGCACAAUAAUCACAAGUAACCGCCACACUUUGACGACGUUGUGCUGCAAAAGCGUCUAACCUCCUUGAAAGUGUCUCAAUCUGUGCUGACAAUGCAGAAAGUGUCGUGAGUCCAUCAAUCUCUGCUCCCCUUGGCUGAGUCAUUCUCGUAUACGGCCAUUGAUAAUUAAAUUCUGCCAUGGUACCUGAAAAGAAUGAAAAAUAAUAGAAAGAGAAUUAAAUAAGACAAGAAUAAAUUAAAAAAACGUUUAAAUUAAAACUAAAUUGAUAAAAAAUAAUAUUGGCAAAUAUUAUUAAAUUAAUUCUCCUGCAACGGCGUCAAAAACUUGUUGAUCGAUUUCGCAAUCAAAACAUUCGUGCAAGUAUACACGGUCAACAAGUAAUAAAGUGAUAAGAAAAGUAUCGUUCCCACGAGAAAUUAUUUAAUAAAAAUCACCAAGUAUUAGUUCUUAACCAAACUAAUUUUAUUUAAACAAUCAAUUUAGGGUUUUGAAUUAAAUUAUUUAAUUAAACUAAUUUUAAUUACCACUAGUUAAAAAUCAAAUUAUGGAGAUUUAAGAUCACAACUUCACUUAUAUUAAAACUCUUCUUAUUAAUUAUGCUCACUAUUCUGGAUUGUUAAUCAGGAACUUAUUAGUAUUUAUAACCACCUUCCGAUGCAUCACAAACAUAUUAAUCCAAAUCCACAAUUGAUAGAAUUGAAUCAAACACCCUAAUUAACUAAUUUCUAUGUGAAUUACAAUUAAAAAGGAUUUAAAGUACAUGUUACCUAUCAGAUUACACGCGGCGUAAAGGCAUAUCCCUAUCCUAAACACAAAUCAUGAAUUCCAACACCAUGCAGAAAACACAAUCACAUGUUAUUAUGAUCAGAUCUAAAUCUAUAUUUCAUCUCCCGAAUCCAUAUAGAUUAUCAUGGUAAUUGUUAGCUAGACAAGUAAACAACUAAACACAAUCAUAACAGACAAUCCAUAGAAUAGAUCACAGUAAUUAACAAAGAAACAUACUAAAAUAAGCUAUGCAAUAAGAUUCAUUGUAAUCUUAAACAAAAGAUUUAGUUCAUGAUUAAUGAAUUAAAACUAAGAAUCCACAACUGAAUAGACAUUAAAAGAUAAAAGUAUGAUAAGAGAGGAGAAUAGAAUCUGUUGUCAGCAAAUCUGAUGCUACCCUCUUGCUCCUGCUCUUGAUCUUGAUCUUCAAUGAUCUCCAAGUUGCUUCAAUAUCC
rnacentral:lncRNA from 1 species